GUGCCCACUUUGGCAGCAUAUAUACAAAAAAUUAAAACAACACAAAGAAGAUUAGCAUGGCCUCUGUGCAUGGAUGACAUGCAAAUUUGUGAAGCAUUUCAUAUUUUU
ensembl:snRNA U6 U6 spliceosomal RNA